rnacentral:rRNA from 1 species
AAAAUCUGGCGGCCUCAGGUCGUCCGAGUUGUAGUCUAGAGAAGCGUUUUCCGCGUUGGCCUGUGUACAAGUCCCUUGGAAUAGGGCGUCAUAGAGGGUGAGAAUCCCGUCCUUGACACAGAUCCCAAUGCUUUGUGAUACGCUCUCAAAGAGUCGAGUUGUUUGGGAAUGCAGCUCAAAAUGGGUGGUAAAUUCCAUCUAAAGCUAAAUAUUGGCGAGAGACCGAUAGCGAACAAGUACCGUGAGGGAAAGAUGAAAAGCACUUUGGAAAGAGAGUUAAACAGUACGUGAAAUUGUUGAAAGGGAAACGAUUGAAGUCAGUCAUGCUUCUCUGGAUUCAGCUUGUUCUACAAGUGUAUUUCCAGUUUUGCAGGCCAGCAUCAGUUUUGUUUGAUGGAAAAAGCUUGAGGAACGUGGCAACCCCGGUUGUGUUAUAGCCUCUUUGCGCAUACAUCAGAUGGGACUGAGGAACGCAGUGUGCCUUUAUGGUCGGUCUUCGGACACGUACGCACUUAGGAUGCUGGCAUAAUGGCUUUAAACGACCCGUCUUGA